AGUGAACGCUGGCGGUAGGCCUAAUACAUGCAAGUCGAGCGGCAGCACAAGAAGAGCUCUCUCUUACGGUUGGCGAGUGGCGGACGGGUGAGACAUACAUCGCCAUCUACUUAGACGUGGGUGAUAUCGGGGGACAAGUGACACUAAUGGCGCAUAUGACGUACGGGUUAAAUCAGUAGUGCUACAGACCUUUGCUGUUUCAUUGAGCCGGUGCCGGGUCGCAUUAGCUAGUUGGUAAGGUAACGGCUUACCAAGGCAACGAUGCGUAGCUGAUCUGAGAGGGUGAUCGGCCACACUGGAACUGAGACACGGUCCAGACUCCUACGGGAGGCAGCAGUAGGGAAUCUUCCGCAAUGGGCGAAAGCCUGACGCAGCCACGCCGCGUGAGUGAUGAAGGUCUUCGGGUCGUAAAGCUCUUUUAUUAGGGAAGAACAGAAGUAUAAGUAACUAUGCACGUCUUGACGGUACCUAAACAGUAAGCCCCGGCUAACUUCGUG
rnacentral:rRNA from 1 species